UUUGGAUUAAUACCUCAUAGUGUUAUUAGAUGGCAUCAUUUGAUACUAAAGUUCCACGGUAAAGAUGGGCAUGCGUCCUAUUAGCUAGAUGGUAAGGUAACGGCUUACCAUGGCUACGAUAGGUAGGGGUCCUGAGAGGGAGAUCCCCCACACUGGUACUGAGACACGGACCAGACUCCUACGGGAGGCAGCAGUGAGGAAUAUUGGACAAUGGGCGCAAGCCUGAUCCAGCCAUGCCGCGUGCAGGAAGACGGUCCUAUGGAUUGUAAACUGCUUUUAUACAGGAAGAAACCCUCCCACGUGUGGGAGCUUGACGGUACUGUAGGAAUAAGGAUCGGCUAACUCCGUG
rnacentral:rRNA from 1 species